UACGUAGGUGGCAAGCGUUGUCCGGAAUUAUUGGGCGUAAAGAGCGCGCGCAGGUGGUUCCUUAAGUCUGAUGUGAAAGCCCCCGGCUCAACCGGGGAGGGUCAUUGGAAACUGGGGAACUUGAGUGCAGAAGAGGAUAGUGGAAUUCCAAGUGUAGCGGUGAAAUGCGUAGAGAUUUGGAGGAACACCAGUGGCGAAGGCGACUAUCUGGUCUGUAACUGACACUGAGGCGCGAAAGCGUGGGGAGCAAACAGG
rnacentral:rRNA from 1 species